GACGAACGCUGGCGGCGUGCUUAACACAUGCAAGUCGAGCGGUAAGGCCCUUUCGGGGGUACACGAGCGGCGAACGGGUGAGUAACACGUGGGUGACCUGCCCUCAGCUCUGGGAUAAGCCUGGGAAACCGGGUCUAGUACUGGAUAUGACUCCAUGACGCAUGUUGUGGGGUGGAAAGCCUUGUGCGGCUGAGGAUGGGCCCGCGGCCUAUCAGCUUGUUGGUGGGGUGAGGCCUACCAAGGCGACGACGGGUAGCCGGCCUGAGAGGGCGACCGGCCACACUGGGACUGAGACACGGCCCAGACUCCUACGGGAGGCAGCAGUGGGGAAUCUUGCGCAAUGGGCGAAAGCCUGACGCAGCGACGCCGCGUGAGGGAUGACGGCCU
rnacentral:rRNA from 1 species